UUGUCAGUCCGUCUCCCCACAAAUCCAUCUUUGUCUAUCCUGGCAUGCCAUUUCAAGAGAUGCCCAAAAACCAGAAUACAACAGCAAGCUUCCACCAUUCAUCAGAUCAAAUCAAAGAUCAACAGCCAACCAUUUAUCUUCAUUCACAGGUGUAAAACCCUCAAAAUCAAAAUGAUUGUCCCAGUAAGUGGAAUGUGCCAGCUUACUCAAAUAAUACUUUCGAAGGAGACCAGGGUUUGUUCAAUAUACUUGGGCUUGGGGCAUGAAGCAGUUGCAAGGCCUUGAAGCAAUUU
rnacentral:misc_RNA from 1 species